GCUAAGUCGUAAACAUCGAUGGCCAUAUUACAACGCCCUCCGCCAGAGAAUUACAAGUAAAAACUUAAAACUCAAAGGACUUGGCGGUGUCCCAAAUCGACCUAGAGGAGCCUGUCCUAUAAUCGAUAUUCCCCGUUCCACCCAACCUUAGCUUGCCUAAUUCAGCCUAUAUACCGCCGUCGACAGUCUACCCCAUGAGGGGUUAAAAGUAGACACAACAACACUUACCGCUAAUACGUCAGGUCAAGGUGUAGCCCAUGCUAAGGAAGAGAUUGGCUACAUUUUUUGUAACAAAAAAUACGAAAUGCACUAUGAAACAGUACAUAAAGGUGAAUUUAGCAGUAAAAUAGACGAGAGCGUCUACUUUAACACCGCUCUGGGACGCGCACACACCGCCCGUCACCCUCCUCUACUUACACCCCCACUACCACUAUAUAACUAUUCCCCCACCAAAGAGGAGGC
rnacentral:rRNA from 1 species